AAAAAAACCUUCCAAAUGUAAAAGAACACUGACGUCUUCCGAAGUGCACAGACAGCCUAAAAGACUGGCUCUGAAUGGUGUGAUAUCCUCUCAUUGGAAUGUCUGCAACUUUUUCAACACUUCAUAACAGUGAACAAUUUAUCAUGAUCAGAGCUGGAGGUGGAUCAUGAACCAGGGGUCUCCACAUCCCAGUGUCAGUGAUCACUUCGUGCAUAAGGUGCUUGCAAGAUGUCUGCUUUAUUCUGCAUCCAGUUCCAUGCAGACUAUGCAAAACAACAAGAACUUCACAGCUCUCCACUCAGACUC